CCAAAACCUAAUCAGUAGGCUUUGGCCUCCACUGAAAAGAUCUGGUUAGGUCCAACCAUUAACAUGACUUGAUUUGGUGAAUCAGACCAAUAAAUGAUCAGGCCCGACUUUGGCUGGCCAACCUGACCACCAUCAGAAAGACUCAACCAAAUGAUCAUAUUAUGAAUGAUAAUUCUAUUAGUCAAUAAGCACCAGGCCUUUGGGCCUCCAGUGAUUAUUAAACUAAUGGACUCAUUAUCACUCACUUAAUGGGAGGCUAUGACUUAAUUAUCACUAUAACUUAAUCAUUUUAGGAACCUAAUAAUUUUUGAGAAUUUUUAUUAAAGGAUAGAAGAGAAGAAAUUAACCAGCCAAUUUCAAUCCUCCCACUGACUUCACCAAGUCAGAUUAAAAAGGAUUUAAUUAAAGCCGGCAUUAGGAGCACCUAAAUCAGUCACACUGAUUUACCUAAUGACAUGGGUGAGUCCUAAUCACCAAGUGAUCUAAUCAAAAUCUAACUCACUAGGUUGGCUAGGUAAGUGAGAUCAGUGGUGAGGGUAUGCCAUUAACUCGUCAGAGAUCGAAUCAAUGCGAGUAGCUCCCACUUAAAAACCACUGGUCAGACUGCCGAACUUACCUAAGACACCAACCGAUUCAUUAGUUUUAAUUUGAUCAACUUAGUAAAUAGGAUUCCACCGCGUAGCCAUGAAUUAAGUCCAUCUUGGUCUAGUUAAAGACAUGGACCCAUUCAACUACAACUAUUGGAGUUGAGUCUAGAGUAUCCUUGACCUAAUCUAAUUCAAUUUUUGAUUAGAUUUGACCAAUUACUCUAAUUUAGUCUAUUUCUUUAAGCUAACCUUAGAUCUAACCUAAUUAUGGACCUAAUCUAUCUAACC
rnacentral:lncRNA from 1 species